ACAGGUGAAUAGUGGCAUGUUUCUCUGUUGUAUAACAAUACGCUCAUUUUCAUUUCUACUAUAAAAAAGAGAAAAUAUCCCCGAUUGGGGAAAGAUGUCUUCGUGUCUUGAAGCAAGGUGUUCUAUCACGCAAACUCUCUUCUCUCGCUUGAGUUCUAUGGCUCCGUGAUUCUGCGUUUCCAUGGUGUCUGAGUCUCGAAUUCUAAUCCACAAGUCAGUUGCUGGGGCAGCUAAUGUCAUUCUCACCGUCCUGUCUGGGAAUUCCUAUAGCAGGAAUGGACUCGUAUGGGCGUCACUGCGGGAGAAUUCAUCACCCUAACAGUUGGAGACAACGCACCUGCAGCGUGCCAGGAUGACCAAUGUGGAAAAAGAAGAAGAUCUGCCAGCAUAUCUGUUUUCUCCAGAGCACUGCCAUAUCCUGAUUUAAGGCACAAAAUUAAAACAGGCUUUGAGAAGUUUUAGAAGAUUGGAAUGUGUCCCUGUGGCUUAACUCAGCACAGAUCAUGAAGAUCCAUGGAGAAAGGCACCAAAAUCAGGUCAGAAUCAGGAGACCCCACAUCAUCCCUGAGAUCUUUAAGGUCAUCUCUUCUGAUUAUGCUUAGGGGGCUGAGGACGAAUCCAGCAGUCCUCGCAGAUGUACUGUACACACUCUUGCAGUCACGAAACCUACAGUGCCUGACAAAGGGGCAGCAGCAGGGGUGGCAGAGAUAACAAUAGGAGCCACAGCAGGUGCUGUGGAUACUCAGGACAGAUCGACUUGACACCGGCAGGAGCAGCCUUCAUGGAUCCAGGAGGAAGCAGAGCCAGCAUGCCCAGGGCGGGUGCUUCCGGCGUGUCCCCACCAUGAGGUGAGGACUUAACAUGUUUGUAGCAAGUAAUUCCCGCAUGUCAGCAGGAGCUGCCAGUCUCUCUCCAGAGGGCAGCAUGAGUGUGGUGCUCGCAGGAGCAGAGUCGACUGACAAGCCUGUUUCAGAAACCGCUGAAGUUCCAGUAGCGGGACCACUCAUCUCAAGUGUGCAGACUGAAAGCUGCAUUAUUAAACAGGAAGGAAGCCAGAAGGUCUCCAAACCAGUGCUGAAGCCUAGAGGGAAAGAAAGGAAAAUGACAGAACUCCCGAGAGAGGGCAUUCCCAUCACCAUCCUGUCCAAUGGAGAGGACAAAUCAACCCUAACAUCGUCCUUCUGCUGGUCUGUAGCCUGCUGUGGAACCACUAGGGGUGGAAAAGAAGGAAAAAGUCUGGAGCAGCCCAGGAAGCAGAGGACACCGCUCCUCCUUCCAUGGGAAAGAAACACAUCAGCUUUCGCUCCACCGCAGAGGAGUCUGGGUGGGUGGUCAGAUUUUUCUUCUCCUCUUACUUUCUAUUGAUGUCAAUACAAUUCUGAAAGGCCGUGGACUCAGGUGUGGGUGGUGAAUCAAGAGCAAUGAAAGCACUAACCUUCUCAAGGAGCUCACAGUGCAUUAGAGCGGAUUGUGCACUUUUCUCUUUUUUUUCUUUGCCUGCUCAUGAGUAUCCCAAAUGCUGAAUCACAGAGAGUGCAAGGCAGAUUGAUGAGUGUCAUAGGAGAGGAAUCACGUAAACUUGAAAUGAUCUGAAUGUUUUUUUCACUGUAAGGGUAGAGACGUGGCACACAGGUCAACUCAAUCGUGCAGUGAACUGAAUGGGAAGAGAAACUUAGUCUUGCUGCUUAUAUUACAGAAUAAGAAUAAUGCAUCUUUUUCCUCUUUCGGGAUUUUAGAUUUUCCCUUUUUCACUGGAUUUAAGCUGUUUGAUUAUGGUGCGACUUUGUGUAGUUUUCUUCAGGAUUCUUAUGCUGUGGGUUCGUUGAGCUUUUUAGAUCUGUGAGUUUGUACUAUUCAUCAAAUCUGGGAAGUUUUCAGCCAGAAUUUUUUCAAAAAAAUCUUAGCGCUAUCUCAAUACAAUGCACAACAGCUAAUCUACAAGCAAAGUCAAAGAUGGGUGGGCAAUGCUGAUGAAUACAAGGCAUUUAAUUUGCUCACUUAAGACGCAUCACUCAGACUGAUGCAACAAUGGUGAUUCAUCACCAUGAACUGCGAAUCCUGAUUACUGACAGCCGUGGUCUGGGAAAAACCAGAGACAGUGACUAAAGAAGCAGAUGAUUUAUGCUGCAUUGUUUUGAUAUUAAAAAGUGCAUUGCUUUCAGACCUAUUUUUUGAGCUGCUGUAUUGGUUUUAUAGUUUUCCUCCAAACUUCUGCACCCUUUAUAGAAAACUGGGAGUUUUUGCAUCAUGAAAAGGGGUUUCUUGGGACACAUGACUUUCAUUACUAAAAGCAGGCUAAUCCCAUAUAAACUGGGAUGAUUUAUUGCCCCACGGCCAGCUCUCUUGAAGCCUUCCUGGAGAGCACCAAGGCUACCACAGUAUGUUUUCACCCACCUCCCGAAGUGGAGCUGGUCCAGCUAAGGUGAGCAUAUGGAUGUGGAUAGCAGGAAUCGGGGGCCUCACAGGCAGUGGGAGGAGAUCAGUGAAAGAAUCCAGUAAAGGAAGGAGAGAGAGAAGCAGCUAGGACUAGACUCAAUGGUGAUGAAAUUUUGACCAUAGUAGUGGUUUCCAUUGUGAUUCUGAAAAUAUGAUGACCCUUUCCGUGGAAUUUAUUACUACAGUGACAUGGAAAACGGUCAAUAUCAAUUCUAUUCUCAAGCAGACUUGUAGCCUUCAUAGACUUCUAGGAAAAAAAAAUAAUAAAGAUAAAAAAAUUUAAAAACAAAUGAAAAGAAUCUAUAUUUUUCAACAACAAGAGAGACAGAGUUUGAAUGGGAAGAUCAGAAAGCAUCCAGAGGUUCAAAUCAUAUUUCCACCAAUGUUGGCCAUAUAAACUGUUAUGGGUGAUAAGACUAUGCAAAUAUGAUAACAGGAGGCCAAAGACUAUAACAAAAAAGGUCUGUCAGAAUUUACCGUUUCAGAUCAUCAAAACAUGGUAGAAACUCAUUGUACCGAAAUGUCUGUAAUUUUACUUUAAUUAAAAAUAACCAUAUUACAAAGAUUGAUGAAGAGUAAGAAGAUGAAGUUACCAAUUUUCAGACCAAAGUCAACUGUGAUGAUGACAUUUCUAGCAAAGACCAUGGAACUUCAGAAGACACAGAGAAGGAAGAGACAGAAAAAAAGACUUGGCACACAAGUGUGAAUAAUUACUAGAUCUCUGCUACUACAGUCAGCAAGGAAAGUAGAGCACACUCUGUGAAUUCUUGGAAGUGGUCUCAGUAAGUCCCAUGGAGAAAUCUAUUUUGACUAUGUCUUAAAAGUUAUAAAAUUGUGAAUCCAGGCAUCAAAAUGGUAACACUGUUCAUGGGAAACAGAUGAUUAUAUCAUGAAUUAAAUGUGAUAUGUAUUCAACUGAGUAUGAGAUUAAAGGGGAAAUUGGCUCUUUCAUAUUGACCCAGGCUGUGAUGCCCGGGAUGGCAGUGGAUGAGAACAGGUGAGAGGAAGGAAG
ensembl:lncRNA